GAGGGUACAGCUCAGUGGCAGAGUGUGUGCUUAGCAUGCGUGAGCUCCUGGGUUCAAGUCCCAGUGCUUCCA
rnacentral:tRNA from 1 species